rnacentral:lncRNA from 1 species
NNNNNNNNNNNNNNNNNNNNNNNNNNGGUCAAGCAAUUGUAGAACGAGCUCAUAGAACUGUGAAAACUUAUUUGGAAAAGUUUAAAAUCACUGAUCCAGUGUUAAAGCUUAGUCACGUAUUGUUCACUAUAAAUUACCUUUGUGUGUUUGGGGAAAAUCUUGAGCCUCCGGCUUUACGACAUCAGGUUAAGACUAUGGAAAACACCAAUACCCCAAAGCAGCAAAAAAUGUAUGUUAUGUAUCGUGACAUGCAAACAGGAAAAUGGACGGGUCCAGCAGCUGUUCAAUAUUUAGGUCGCGGGUAUAUGUCUGUUCUCACUCCUACAGGAUCCGUCUGGGUCCCCUCCAGAUGGACUCGUCCUGCUCUGCGCUCUGCUGACACUGAUGAACGGGAGGAUAACAGCCUCGAGUCCAUUGCUUCACUCUUCCAUGAUAACAUCAGAAGUUAAUGUUUGGGUAACUUGGGCUACUAAAACUAAUAACCCUGAUUUUUGUCUUAGUCUUCAAUCUGCGGGGGAACCGUUCCGUACUUGUUUAAUCGGGUGGCCAGGAUAUAAUGUAUCUGAUUUUUUUCGUUUCAGUAGGGAUACCAUUCACUGUGCCAAGGUCAAGGACGUUGCUACACAAAGUGCAUGUUUGAUACAAAGUCUUAAUAACUCUUUGCCCUGGGACCCGCAGGAAUUAGAUUUAUUAGGCUCUAGGAGAGUUAAUAAUCCCGAUGGGAAAAAUACAACCUGCCUUCUGUUUGGGCAGGGUACUGUUGCUGACAGGAUUGCUUAUUUGUAUCCGAAGCUUUGGGACAUUAGGCCAUAUUACAAGUAUCAGUCAUGGACUGGGGUGUUCCCACGUAACUUAAGGGCUUUUAAUUGGCCAACCUAUUGUGGUGGGGAUUUUCAGAAAGGAAAUGCAUAUGGGAUGAAGCUCGAAGAGACACUGACUAAUAGUGGAUCUGCAAAGGCGUUACCACCUGGGAUCUUUCUUAUAUGUGGGGAUAGAGCUUGGGCUGGUAUUCCCAAAAAUGUUGUGGGGGGUCCUUGCUACAUAGGAAAAUUAACAUUGUUUGCCCCGAAACAGCAGCAGUGGUUAACAAUAGGUGAUAAACUUAGAAAUGUUUCCCACGAGGAGCCUCGGUCUCUUCAACUCCUCGACAGUACUUGCUCCGAUGAGGUACAGCUGUGGAGCGUGACUGCCAGGAUUUUUGCCUCAUUCCUA